rnacentral:rRNA from 1 species
CAAGUCGAGCGGUAACAGGGGUAGCUUGCUACCCGCUGACGAGCGGCGGACGGGUGAGUAAUGCUUAGGAAUCUGCCCAGUAGUGGGGGAUAGCCCGGGGAAACCCGGAUUAAUACCGCAUACGUCCUACGGGAGAAAGCAGGGGAUCUUCGGACCUUGCGCUAUUGGAUGAGCCUAAGUCGGAUUAGCUAGUUGGUGGGGUAAAGGCCUACCAAGGCGACGAUCCGUAGCUGGUCUGAGAGGAUGAUCAGCCACAUCGGGACUGAGACACGGCCCGAACUCCUACGGGAGGCAGCAGUGGGGAAUAUUGGACAAUGGGGGCAACCCUGAUCCAGCCAUGCCGCGUGUGUGAAGAAGGCUUUCGGGUUGUAAAGCACUUUCAGUAGGGAGGAAAACCUUAUGGUUAAUACCCAUGAGGCUUGACGUUACCUACAGAAGAAGCACCGGCUAACUCCGUGCCAGCAGCCGCGGUAAUACGGAGGGUGCAAGCGUUAAUCGGAAUUACUGGGCGUAAAGCGCGCGUAGGUG